CUUUGGAGUAGCAUAUAUUUCAAGGCGGAAGGAG
ncrna:Eggerthia catenaformis OT 569 = DSM 20559 L31-Firmicutes ribosomal protein leader